ACGGUAACGGUCUUCGGAUGCUGACGAGUGGCGAACGGGUGCAGUAAUACAUCGGAACGUGCCCAGUAAUGGGGGAUAGCUCGGCGAAAGCCGGAUUAAUACCGCAUACGCCCUGAGGGGGAAAGUGGGGGACCGCAAGGCCUCACGUUAUUGGAGCGGCCGAUGGCUGAUUAGCUAGUUGGUAGGGUAAAGGCCUACCAAGGCGACGAUCAGUAGCUGGUCUGAGAGGACGAUCAGCCACACUGGGACUGAGACACGGCCCAGACUCCUACGGGAGGCAGCAGUGGGGAAUUUUGGACAAUGGGGGAAACCCUGAUCCAGCAAUGCCGCGUGUGCGAAGAAGGCCUUCGGGUUGUAAAGCACUUUUGUCAGGGAAGAAAUCCUUUGGGCUAAUACCCUAGGGGGAUGACGGUACCUGAAGAAUAAGCACCGGCUAACUACGUGCCAGCAGCCGCGGUAAUACGUAGGGUGCAAGCGUUAAUCGGAAUUACUGGGCGUAAAGCGUGCGCAGGCGGUUGUGUAAGACAGGUGUGAAAUCCCCGGGCUUAACCUGGGAAUUGCAUUUGUGACUGCACGACUAGAGUGUGUCAGAGGGGGGUGGAAUUCCACGUGUAGCAGUGAAAUGCGUAGAUAUGUGGAGGAACACCAAUGGCGAAGGCAGCCCCCUGGGAUAACACUGACGCUCAUGCACGAAAGCGUGGGGAGCAAACAGGAUUAGAUACCCUGGUAGUCCACGCCCUAAACGAUGUCCACUAGUUGUUGGGGAUUUACUUCCCUGGUAACGUAGCUAACGCGUGAAGUUGACCGCCUAGGGAG
rnacentral:rRNA from 1 species